rnacentral:rRNA from 1 species
CCUACGGGUGGCAGCAGUGAGGAAUAUUGGUCAAUGGGCGAGAGCCUGAACCAGCCAAGUCGCGUGAGGGAGUACUGCCCUAUGGGUUGUAAACCUCUUUUGUCGGGGAGCAAAAGCCGGACGUGUCCGGCUGUGAGAGUACCCGAAGACAAAGCAUCGGCUAACUCCGUGCCAGCAGCCGCGGUAAUACGGAGGAUGCGAGCGUUAUCCGGAUUUAUUGGGUUUAAAGGGGGCGCAGGCGGAUUUUUAAGUUAGCGGUAAAAUCGUGGGGCUCAACCCCAUCCAGCCGUUGAAACUGGGGAUCUAGAGUGUGCGAGAGGUAUGCGGAAUGCGUGGUGUAGCGGUGAAAUGCAUAGAUAUCACGCAGAACCCCGAUUGUGAAGGCAGCAUACCGGUGCACAACUGACGCUCAGGCACGAAAGCGUGGGUAUCGAACAGGAUUAGAUACCCUUGUAGUC